GAUCUCUCUAAUGUAUUAGAUCUUCAUGCCUUUGAUAGUCUCUCUGGAAUAAGUUUGCAGAAAAAACUUCAGCAUGUGCCAGGAACACAACCUCACCUUGAUCAGAGUAUUGUUACAAUCACAUUUGAAGUACCAGGAAAUGCAAAGGAAGAACAUCUUAAUAUGUUUAUUCAGAAUCUCCUGUGGGAAAAGAAUGUGAGAAACAAGGACAAUCACUGCAUGGAGGUCAUAAGGCUGAAGUUUGAACUGAGGCUGAUUAAUGUUCAGUCAAUUCUCCUUUGAGCAGGGAUUGGUGUCAAUCAAAGACAAAUCACAACAAGUGAUUGUCCAGGGUGUCCAUGAGCUCUAUGAUCUGGAGGAGACUCCAGUGAGCUGGAAGGAUGACACUGAGAGAACAAAUCGAUUGGUCCUCCUUGGCAGAAAUUUAGAUAAGGAUAUCCUUAAACAGCUGUUUAUAGCUACUGUGACAGAAACAGAAAAGCAGUGG
rnacentral:lncRNA from 1 species